AACGAACGCUGGCGGCAGGCCUAACACAUGCAAGUCGAACGCCCUGGCAACAGGGAGUGGCAGACGGGUGAGUAACGCGUGGGAACGUGCCUUUCGGUUCGGAAUAACCCAGGGAAACUUGGAUUAAUACCGGAUACGUGCGAGAGCAGAAAGAUUUAUCGCCGAAAGAUCGGCCCGCGUCCGAUUAGCUAGUUGGUGAGGUAAAGGCUCACCAAGGCGACGAUCGGUAGCUGGUCUGAGAGGAUGAUCAGCCACACUGGGACUGAGACACGGCCCAGACUCCUACGGGAGGCAGCAGUGGGGAAUAUUGGACAAUGGGCGCAAGCCUGAUCCAGCCAUGCCGCGUGAGUGAUGAAGGCCCUAGGGUUGUAAAGCUCUUUCGCCAGGGACGAUAAUGACGGUACCUGGAUAAGAAGCCCCGC
rnacentral:rRNA from 1 species